rnacentral:rRNA from 1 species
GGUUAAGUGACUAAGCGUACACGGUGGAUGCCCUGGCAGUCAGAGGCGAUGAAGGACGUGCUAAUCUGCGAUAAGCGUCGGUAAGGUGAUAUGAACCGUUAUAACCGGCGAUUUCCGAAUGGGGAAACCCAGUGUGAUUCGUCACACUAUCAUUAACUGAAUCCAUAGGUUAAUGAGGCGAACCGGGGGAACUGAAACAUCUAAGUACCCCGAGGAAAAGAAAUCAACCGAGAUUCCCCCAGUAGCGGCGAGCGAACGGGGAGCAGCCCAGAGCCUGAAUCAGUGUGUGUGUUAGUGGAAGCGUCUGGAAAGGCGCGCGAUACAGGGUGACAGCCCCGUACACAAAAAUGCACAUACUGUGAGCUCGAUGAGUAGGGCGGGACACGUGGUAUCCUGUCUGAAUAUGGGGGGACCAUCCUCCAAGGCUAAAUACUCCUGACUGACCGAUAGUGAACCAGUACCGUGAGGGAAAGGCGAAAAGAACCCCGGCGAGGGGAGUGAAAAAGAACCUGAAACCGUGUACGUACAAGCAGUGGGAGCCUCUUUAUGGGGUGACUGCGUACCUUUUGUAUAAUGGGUCAGCGACUUAUAUUCUGUAGCAAGGUUAACCGAAUAGGGGAGCCGAAGGGAAACCGAGUCUUAACUGGGCGUUAAGUUGCAGGGUAUAGACCCGAAACCCGGUGAUCUAGCCAUGGGCAGGUUGAAGGUUGGGUAACACUAACUGGAGGACCGAACCGACUAAUGUUGAAAAAUUAGCGGAUGACUUGUGGCUGGGGGUGAAAGGCCAAUCAAACCGGGAGAUAGCUGGUUCUCCCCGAAAGCUAUUUAGGUAGCGCCUCGUGAAUUCAUCUCCGGGGGUAGAGCACUGUUUCGGCAAGGGGGUCAUCCCGACUUACCAACCCGAUGCAAACUGCGAAUACCGGAGAAUGUUAUCACGGGAGACACACGGCGGGUGCUAACGUCCGUCGUGAAGAGGGAAACAACCCAGACCGCCAGCUAAGGUCCCAAAGUCAUGGUUAAGUGGGAAACGAUGUGGGAAGGCCCAGACAGCCAGGAUGUUGGCUUAGAAGCAGCCAUCAUUUAAAGAAAGCGUAAUAGCUCACUGGUCGAGUCGGCCUGCGCGGAAGAUGUAACGGGGCUAAACCAUG